ensembl:snRNA U6 U6 spliceosomal RNA
GUGCUCACUCUGGCAGCAUAUAUACUAAAACUGGAAUGAUACAAGAAGAUUAGCAUGGCCCCCAUGCAAGGACGACACAUAAAACCACAGCAUCCUGGGUUUU